rnacentral:rRNA from 1 species
AUUGAACGCUGGCGGCGUGCUUAACACAUGCAAGUCGAACGGUAACAGGCCCUUCGGGUGCUGACGAGUGGCGGACGGGUGAGUAAUGCGUAGGAAUCUGCCUUACAGUGGGGGAUAACCUAGGGAAACUUAGGCUAAUACCGCAUAAGCUCUACGGAGGAAAGCGGGGGAUCGUAAGACCUCGCGCUGUUAGAUGAGCCUACGUCCGAUUAGCUAGUUGGUAGGGUAAAGGCCUACCAAGGCGACGAUCGGUAGCUGGUCUGAGAGGACGAUCAGCCACACUGGGACUGAGACACGGCCCAGACUCCUACGGGAGGCAGCAGUGGGGAAUAUUGGACAAUGGGCGAAAGCCUGAUCCAGCGAUGCCGCGUGUGUGAAGAAGGCCUGCGGGGUU